UAAAUAUAACAACGAAGGCACUACGCCCAUGGUCGAAAAUUUAAUUUUCGGCGGCGUGCACUGUGGGCCUCGCAGUGCACAGUGACGUUGCUUGAUGAUCUAUGUUUUAAGCCAUACUUGUUGCUUCGUAACUUGUUGUGCCCAARACAUGGAAACUCGGGUGACGAUGAGGCAUUGCUGUGGAGGAUGAACGUGUUGCUGUGGUGUGGACGAAAGGUUGCUGUGGAGAAUGAARAAGGUGCUGCGUUGGUUGAUGAAAAUCUUCCAACGACGUGGUAUUGUGGGUCUCGCAAUGCCAUAUGUCACGUUACUUGAUGAUCUAUGUUGGAAGCUUUACAUGUUGCUUUUGCGACUUGUUCUGCCUAAAACAUAGUGAAUUGGGUGAUGAARAGACCUUGAUGCGGAGGAGGAUGUUGCUGCGGAGGCGGAUGAAGGUGAUGCUGCGUUGGUUGUUGAAAGUCAUCCAACGACGUGGUAUUGUGGGCCUCGCAAUGCCAUAUGUCAUGUUGCUCUGAAUGUCUCGAUUUGAAGCUGUACUUGUUUGUUGUGCUUCAUUUCGGUGAUCUCGYGCAACGACAAGGCAUGUUGGCUUGAUGAAAGUCAUCCAACGACGUGGUAUUGUGAGCCUUGCAAUGCCAUAUGUCAUGUUGCUCUGAAUGUCUCGAUUGAAGCUGUACUUGUUUGUUGUGCUUCAUUUCGGUGAUCUCGUGCAACGACGAGGCAUGUUGGCUUGAUGAAAGUCAUCCAACGACGUGGUAUUGUGAGCCUURCAAUGCCAUAUGUCAUGUUGCUCUGAACGUCUCUCUUUGAAGCUGUACUUGUUUGUUGUGCUUCAUUUCGGUGAUCUCGUGCAACAUUGAGGCAUGUUGGCUUGAUGAAAGUCAUCUAAUGACGUGGUAUUGUGGGCCUCGCAAUGCCAUAUGUCACGUUGCUCUGAAUGUCUCGCUUUGAAGCUGUACUUGUUUGUUGUGCUUCAUUUCGGUGAUCUCGUGCAAUGAUGAGGCAUGGUCGCUUACCUUUGUUAUUCUUCUCGUAUCGUUCGGUGCAUUUUGGGGUCAUUUCAGCAUUUUGUUGUUUCCUUGGCUUUUAGCUAGGGUGGUGGCUAAGUGUUGGGUGUCUUCGGGGAUGUCUACCGUAAAGGUGCAUGAGUGGUAUUUGGUUUGUUACGGGUGGUUGGCUCUUGCUUGCGCAACAACUUCCACCUGGCUUACCUCUUCAGUUGCUUGCCAAUGCUUGUAAAGUAUUGGUUGGAUUGUGGGUUUCAUGUGUUGCCUACCGAAUUGAUGGUAUUGUAUUCUGAAAGAAUUCCAUUUUUUCAUCUUGCGUCGCAAAUGCUUUGUGUGAUGAACCUUGAAGCAUUCUUUAUGAUCCACUCUUUUAAUGCUCAGGUGUUAAUUGUGUGGCUCAUAUUGAGUUGCUUGUUAUCUUGGAUAUGGAACCUGAUGUGGGCAUGGGAUGUUUAUAUAUCCCUUGGUUGCCCUG
rnacentral:misc_RNA from 1 species